UACAGAGGUCUCGAGCGUUAGGCGGAAUCACUGGGCUUAAAGCGUGUGUAGGUGGAUCGUUAAGUACCUUGUGAAAUCCCCCGGCUCAACCGGGGAACGGCUGGGUAUACUGGCGAUCUUGAGCCACCUAGGGGCAGUCGGAACAAGUGGUGGAGCGGUGAAAUGCGUAGAUAUCACUUGGAACGCCAAUGGUGAAAACAGACUGCUGGGGGUGUGCUGACGCUGAGACACGAAAGCCAGGGGAGCAAACGGG
rnacentral:rRNA from 1 species